GGUUCCGUAGCUCAACUGGAUAGAGCAAUUGCCUUCUAAGCAAUAGGUUAUGCGUUCGAGUCGCAUCGGAAUCACCA
rnacentral:tRNA from 1 species